rnacentral:rRNA from 1 species
AUGGGAGAAUAUAUGACUUUAAAAUCUAUGAAGAACACCUUUUUAUGUCAGAAGGAGAAAUCAAAGUCAUCAGUAAAUUUUUUGGAUUUAUCCUCAAGCUCGAGUUCGCCAGUUGUGGAUGGUGUUUGUUUUGUUCCUACUUCAGAAGAUGAUCACCAUUUGUAUAAACGAAGGAGGAUGGACAAGAAAUGUCAUUUUGUUCCGACAAAUACAAAUGGAAAUAAGAAUAGGAGUACAAGCAGAAAUGCGAUCAAGAGUGCAACAGAUGGAAAUGCGAGGAAAAGUACAACCAGAAGUUCUGCAACUUUUGAAGAUAUUUCGCCCCGGGUCCAAAAAUUUGGGAAAGCACUUAUUGUUCCUUCAGAUGGAGAAGUUUCAAAAUCUGAAACAAACAUUGUUGAAUAUACAAAAGAAUAUAAAGAUACCGCAGAAGCUUCUAAAAGUUCUUGGAAAAACUCGUCGGUGUCACUUUCUACUGUGGAUGAUAGGAAGUCAAUUUCCAUAUCAAGCAGGCCAUCUUAUAUAAAUCACAAGGUACAGGAUUCCAGGGAGUCUGAUACAGAAUCACUUAUGGAGUUAACAUCAAGGGAGGUUUGCAUAUCCUUGCUCGAAAGGGAUAUAGUUCUCAUCGAAAAAUCAGAGCUCAGCAGCACAUCAACUACAUUAACCCAUGAUGAUAAUGAAAGCAACACUUUAUUUGCAUGCAAGAGUUGUGGGUCUUUUGAAGAUCCAUGCCGCAUGUUAAUAUGUGAUCGUUGUGAAGAAGCAUUCCACUUGCUUUGCUGCCACCGUCGCAUCAAGAAAAUACCAGAUAAUGAUUGGUAUUGCCUGGAUUGUUCAAGGAAGAAACCUAAGAGGCAGCGUGAGAUGUUGCCGAGUACAAAAGGAUCAGCCAAGCAUAUUCAAAGACCUCUCCAAGUUCUUGGCUCAAAAGGAGAUAUGUUGACGAAUGCUGAACCAUAUGAAACUCAAGUAAGGAUUGGUAGAGACUUCCAAGCAGAAGUUCCAGAGUGGUCCGGUCCAAUUUCUGGCAGUGAUGACUAUUUUGUUGAACCUGCUGAACUUGAUGCCACUGAAAUGACAAAUCUGAGUUUGCAGUUGUCACUAAGGCGUGAGGACAAGAAAACCAGCAUUGGUAACUGGAUUCAGUGCCAAGAAGUCUUGGACACAGGUGCUAUUUGCGGCAAGUGGCGGAGGGCACCACUUUUUGUCGUUCAGUCGAGCGAUUGGGAUUGCUCAUGUUCAGUUCUUUGGGAUCCAAUUCAUGCUGAUUGUGCUGUUCCGCAGGAAUUGGGUACCGCUGAAGUGCUUCAGCAACUGAAGUACAUAAAUAAGCUGAAGCUGCGUCUGGACAGUUAUAAGCAGAAACGCUGA